rnacentral:rRNA from 1 species
UAAAUGACUCUUGGCAAUGGAUAUCUUGGCUCUCGUUUCGAUGAAGAACGUAGCGAAAUGCGACACUUGGUGUGAAUUGCAGAAUCCCGUGAACCAUCGAGUCUUUGAAUGCAAGUUGCGCUCGAGGCCAUUAGGUCGAGGGCACGUCUGUUUGGGUGUCAUAC